rnacentral:rRNA from 1 species
CCUACGGGGGGCAGCAGUGGGGGAUAUUGCACAAUGGGGGAAACCCUGAUGCAGCGACGCCGCGUGUGGGAAGACGGUCCUCUGGAUUGUAAACCACUGUCCCCAGGGACGAAAAUGACGGUACCUGGGGAGGAAGCUCCGGCUAACUACGUGCCAGCAGCCGCGGUCAUACGUAGGGAGCGAGCGUUGUCCGGAAUUACUGGGUGUAAAGGGAGAGUAGGCGGGGAUGCAAUGUGGUGGUCAAAACUACGGGCUCAACUGGUAGUCGCACUCAAAACUGCAGAUCUUGAGUGAAGUAGAGGCAGGCGGAAUUCGUAGUGUAGCGGUGAAAUGCGUAGAUAUUAGGAGGAACACCAGUGGCGAAGGCGGCCUGCUGGGCUUUUACUGACGCUGAGGCUCGAAAGUGUGGGGAGCAAACAGGAUUAGAUACCCUAGUAGUC